rnacentral:tRNA from 1 species
GCUCAGUUGGUAGAGUACAAAGCUCUUAACCUUGUGGACGUGGGUUUGAGCCCCAU